rnacentral:rRNA from 1 species
GACGAACGCUGGCGGCGUGCCUAAUACAUGCAAGUCGAACGCACAGUUUAUACCGUAGCUUGCUACACCAUAGACUGUGAGUUGCGAACGGGUGAGUAACGCGUAGGUAACCUGCCUGGUAGCGGGGGAUAACUAUUGGAAACGAUAGCUAAUACCGCAUAAUAUUGAUUAUUGCAUGAUAAUUAAUUGAAAGGUGCAAUUGCACCACUACCAGAUGGAUCUGCGUUGUAUUAGCUAGUAGGUGAGGUAACGGCUCACCUAGGCGACGAUACAUAGCCGACCUGAGAGGGUGGUCGGCCACACUGGGACUGAGACACGGCCCAGCCUCCUACGGGAGGCAGCAGUAGGGAAUCUUCGGCAAUGGGCGAAAGUCUGACCGAGCAACGCCGCGUGAGGGAAGAAGGUUUUCGGAUCGUAAAGCUCGGUUGUAAGAGAAGAAAGGGUGUGAGAGUGGAAAGUUCACACUGUGACGGUAUCUUACCAGAAAGGGACGGCUAACUACGUG